CGUGUGUCCAACAGGCUCCAUCGCACCUAACUCAUUGUAAAUGGCAGCUGAUGUUACUUUCCUCCAUAUAUUCACUGUAUCCGUGCGGCCAGGAGACCACCUGAGAGGCUAUAUGUCAACAUAAUGUCAGCGCGUGUCAUCAGUUGGUCUCCACAGAGGAGAUAAAGGCGACAGAACCGACAGAUUUUUAUCUGCAGCUGCAAACUUUGAUUAUAGACCAAUAACAGGAUGACAGUCAGGCUUUCAGCGAGGGCGAAAAGAGGCGAAGAGAAGCAGAGACUUCCUCUGGAGAGUCAACAGCCUCCUUCUGCUGAGGCUGUGAUCAGAGUCCUGAAGCAGAAGAUUUUAGACAGAGACACAAAAAUGAGGCUGAAGUCGCACACAGACGUCCGGAGGUUAAAGAAGUUGGGAUGUGAACUUCAUGUUUGAAUUAAACAAAUCAACUGAUGCUUGAUGUUGAAAAUGGAAACUGUGCGUGAAAUAAUAACAUUCAGCUGCAGCCGCCAGUGAGGAACUUUUAUUUUGAAAUUCAAUAAAUUCAAAAGUGUGAAAGAACAAAUUUGGUUUGUUUUGUUUUCUGCAUUUGACUGAACAUCAGUGAGACGUGUGGUGGCGUGUGUGGACCACAAACAGCACCGCGUGUUGUGUUUCCACAGAUGUGUUCAGUUUCUACAAAAUAAAAGUGUGCUGCUUUGAAAAUGUGUCAAAUUAAAUGUUUUUUGUAUGAAUUAGAUGAAAAUAAAAAGCUGAUUAAAUCGAAACGUGCCUGAUUCCACCGCUCAUUUAUUACCACAGAGAUCCAGGAUGAGUUUUUCUUAUUCUGAUUUAAAUGUGAUUUAAAUAGUUCUUCUUUUUUAAAAAAACAAAAAAAAAAAAACAGAAAUGUGUUAUUAUUUUGUGUUUUGUUGUUCUGAUUACAUUAAAGAAGUUCCGUGA